GAAUCGAGAGAAGACCCUGAAGUGAAGAGAGAGUCUUGAUUUUAUAGAGGUUUCAGGUACAGUUUGGUUUCACUUGAUGGAUAUAUAUGUGUGCCGAGUUAUGAAUGGACGAGGUGAUUGACAUGGAGAUUGGCGCACAAAGUCUAGCUGAAGAUUGAAGAAGACUCGAGGAUGAAUGAAGAGUCAAAGUUGCCUAGCAUAGAAAAUUUCAUGAUGGAUGCCUCUUCUCUUUUUUUGUUUUUAAUUGUAGAAUUUUCUUGAGAUGUAAUGUUGUAGUAACUUGGACUUGAGAUUUUUGUAAAUGGGCCUUGAAUGUUGUGAUGAUAAUGAAUGAAUAUUUGAACA